rnacentral:rRNA from 1 species
GGCGGACGGGUGAGUAAUGUCUGGGAAACUGCCUGAUGGAGGGGGAUAACUACUGGAAACGGUAGCUAAUACCGCAUAACGUCGCAAGACCAAAGAGGGGGACCUUCGGGCCUCUUGCCAUCGGAUGUGCCCAGAUGGGAUUAGCUUGUUGGUGGGGUAACGGCUCACCAAGGCGACGAUCCCUAGCUGGUCUGAGAGGAUGACCAGCCACACUGGAACUGAGACACGGUCCAGACUCCUACGGGAGGCAGCAGUGGGGAAUAUUGCACAAUGGGCGCAAGCCUGAUGCAGCCAUGCCGCGUGUAUGAAGAAGGCCUUCGGGUUGUAAAGUACUUUCAGCGGGGAGGAAGGGAGUAAAGUUAAUACCUUUGCUCAUUGACGUUACCCGCAGAAGAAGCACCGGCUAACUCCGUGCCAGCAGCCGCGGUAAUACGGAGGGUGCAAGCGUUAAUCGGAAUUACUGGGCGUAAAGCGCACGCAGGCGGUUUGUUAAGUCAGAUGUGAAAUCCCCGGGCUCAACCUGGGAACUGCAUCUGAUACUGGCAAGCUUGAGUCUCGUAGAGGGUGGUAGAAUUCCAGGUGUAGCGGUGAAAUGCGUAGAGAUCUGGAGGAAUACCGGUGGCGAAGGCGGCCCCCUGGACGAAGACUGACGCUCAGGUGCGAAAGCGUGUGGAGCAAACAGGAUUAGAUACCCUGGUAGUCCACGCCGUAAACGAUGUCGACUUGGAGGUUGUGCCCUUGAGGCGUGGCUGCCGCAGCUAACGCAUUAAGUCGACCGCC